GGUAACAGAAGUCAGCAAGGUAAAGAGGGACGAGAUCACGCCCUUCUCAAAAUAUAAUAUGCCUACACACCAUCUGGGAUCUUGUCAAAGUUCAGAUUCAGAAAGUCCGAGGUGGGGCCUGAGAUUCCGCAUUCCUGACGUGAUCCCAGAACAAGCUGCAGGAGGACAUGGCCAUCUUCUUUCUGGUCCUUGCUUGCCUCACUGAGAGGAAGGAUGGUGACCUAACUGGGAAGAUAACUACAACACUGUUUAACAACAGAGUGAAGGCACUUGACUUUUAUCGGCACCUGAUCUCACCACUGGAGUGCAUCCAUCCCUGGGAAUCCCAGGUUGCCAGGGGACUAUCUGUGCAGUUCAAGACUUUGGCACAGAGAAUAUGAAUGGAUGAAGGGAGCAAAAGCCCCAGCCUCCAGAUAUCUGCCUGGAACACUCUUCCACAUUGACACAAGUUUCCCUCCCAUUCUCCAUUUGGGUCUUUGGAUCAAAUAUUACCUCAUUAGAACUGCCUUCAGACUGGGGGCAAGAGGAACCCCCUACCUUGUCUUCUGAGCUCUCCAGUCCUCUUCCAGCCAUGCCCCUUUCCACAGAGUUAGAAGCCCAUGGGUCAAGGGGAUGUGCCCACCCAAAGCUCCUGUGCCUCACCUCUUCUUAGAUCAUACAGGGAGUACCCGAGACCCUAGAACUCCCAUUCCAAGAGUACCAGGCCAACUUCCAGAGACUACAUCAGCCUUUUCCUCAAGGUCUAUUCUCUUGAGGAACCAAGGAUGGGCUAUUUGCUAAAGGUAUGGCUGGAGCUCAGAUAUGCAGACAGGGAUGUUAUAGGUGCAGGCACAAAGUCCCAUGAAGAGUGGGACAGAGCUGGGGUGCAAAGAACGGGAGGAAGUUUGAGGGCCAGGGACCAGUUACCACCCAAGAAGCCCCAUUCCAGUGUACAUCUUAGGGGGAGUCUGAGAAUCCUAAACUUAAGUUUGGCCUUCCAGAUUUUUGUGACUGUGUACUUGUCAAGAUGAAAGGACAGGAUUUCUACCUAAGUUUAGACUGGCUUAUAAUUUUAAAUUAGGUAGAUAUACGUGUGGGGCUUCCCAGGUGCUCAGUGGUAAACAAUUCGCCUGCCAAUGUAGGAGACAUGAGUUUGAUCCCUGGGUCGGGAAGAUCACCUGGAGAAGGAAAUGGCUACCCACUCUAGUAUUCUUGCCUGGGAAAUCCCAUGGACAGAGGAGCCUGGAGGGCUGCAGUCCAUGGGGGUCGCAAAGAGUCGGAUGUGACCUAAUGACUGAGCACACACACAUGAUAUGUUUAUCUCCAUUUGCACUGUUUGCCCUGGCCCUGUAAAUAUCAGGGAUGGGUCUAUCCCUGACCUCCCUAUCUAAAAUAAAAUACCACUUCCUCUGUCAAAUAAAAUACCACUUCCUCUGUCACUUUAUUCUUACUUCAUCGUACAUUUCUUCAGAACCUUUGUCAACACAGGAUCUA
ensembl:lncRNA